UUCUAGACGUAUCCACCACUCCUCUGCAUGCACGGACACUCAGCAGAGCUCUGUAUGCAGAGCAGGUCCAGCCACACAACCCAGAAGUGAGGGAAUAGUAUCCAGUUCUCUUGAAUCCCAAGUACUCUAUCCACUCGAUCACUAGUUAAGGGAGUAGGCAGCAUUAUUGGUUUGUCUUUUGCUGGCCACAGUUUGGGAAGCAGGACUGACAUACAUUUUAAGCUCCAGAAGCAGGUUCAGGCUUGUAAAACCCAGUACCCUAUUUUUUAGGUAACUCAUUUCCUCUAUAUUGUCUAGGUGCACUGAGGGCUCCACUUAUUGGCACAGCACUUAGGUAAUGCUCACAACUGUGUGUUGUACUUAGUCUCUUUAGUGGCUCUAGAGCCUUUGUGCUUUCUACAGGACUGUUCAACAAUUAUCCCUUUGUACAACCUUAAAUAAUUCCUCUGUACAUAGAGUUUACGGCACUUCUAGUCCUGUAGAUACUCAAGUACCUUUAGCAAUUUAAUUCAAGGCCAUUGCACUAAUGGUAAAGGGAGGAGGGAAUAAAGUUGAUGUAGAGCAGUGACCAUCAUUCCUUCAAACAGCUUGGAAACAGUUUUACCAGGGUUGAGCAGCAGCUGUGGGCCCUGAGUGCUCAUCAUGGUCCUGAUGAGCUGCUCCUGUGCCCUCUCAGCACCCUCACCUGUGGCCCAGGAGCUCUAUGUAAGUUGAAGGUUGGGGCUAGCUCUGGUCUUUGAUGAGUUGGAGUUGUCGAGGGGCUUCUGGUCUGGCUUUGGGCUUGCCCCUGCUCCAGAGCUGCCGGGUGGUCAGCUGUGGGGCUGCUGGCUGAAGGUGUUUCUGCAAGACAUGCUCAGCUCUCCUUGCUCAGAAGGUGACUUGCCUCGUGAAUGGCCAGUUAUGAAACUGCCCUCCAUGCCUUCAGCUAGGAGUAUCACGGAGGAGCAGGAGGAGCAGCUCCGAGGCGAGUGAGAGAGAACACUGAUACUGGGUUCGGGGCUGGCAGAAAACGCGUGGCAUGCCACGUUCAUUUCCAGGAAUGUGGCUCCGGGCGCCCCUGACCGCGGGUCCCACCCGGA